rfam:Cylindrobasidium torrendii FP15055 ss-10 unplaced genomic scaffold CYLTOscaffold_95, whole genome shotgun sequence.
UCCGGUAUGGUGUAACGGCUAACAUUGCCGCCUUUCAAACACAUCGCGGCAGCUCGGGGUUCGAUUCCCCGUACCGGAA